CCCCGAGGAAAAGAAAUCAACCGAGAUUCCCCCAGUAGCGGCGAGCGAACGGGGAGGAGCCCAGAGCCUGAAUCAGUGUGUGUGUUAGUGGAAGCGUCUGGAAAGGCGCGCGAUACAGGGUGACAGCCCCGUACACAAAAAUGCACAUGCUGUGAGCUCGAUGAGUAGGGCGGGACACGUGGUAUCCUGUCUGAAUAUGGGGGGACCAUCCUCCAAGGCUAAAUACUCCUGACUGACCGAUAGUGAACCAGUACCGUGAGGGAAAGGCGAAAAGAACCCCGGCGAGGGGAGUGAAAAAGAACCUGAAACCGUGUACGUACAAGCAGUGGGAGCACGCUUAGGCGUGUGACUGCGUACCUUUUGUAUAAUGGGUCAGCGACUUAUAUUCUGUAGCAAGGUUAACCGAAUAGGGGAGCCGAAGGGAAACCGAGUCUUAACUGGGCGUUAAGUUGCAGGGUAUAGACCCGAAACCCGGUGAUCUAGCCAUGGGCAGGUUGAAGGUUGGGUAACACUAACUGGAGGACCGAACCGACUAAUGUUGAAAAAUUAGCGGAUGACUUGUGGCUGGGGGUGAAAGGCCAAUCAAACCGGGAGAUAGCUGGUUCUCCCCGAAAGCUAUUUAGGUAGCGCCUCGUGAAUUCAUCUCCGGGGGUAGAGCACUGUUUCGGCAAGGGGGUCAUCCCGACUUACCAACCCGAUGCAAACUGCGAAUACCGGAGAAUGUUAUCACGGGAGACACACGGCGGGUGCUAACGUCCGUCGUGAAGAGGGAAACAACCCAGACCGCCAGCUAAGGUCCCAAAGUCAUGGUUAAGUGGGAAACGAUGUGGGAAGGCCCAGACAGCCAGGAUGUUGGCUUAGAAGCAGCCAUCAUUUAAAGAAAGCGUAAUAGCUCACUGGUCGAGUCGGCCUGCGCGGAAGAUGUAACGGGGCUAAACCAUG
rnacentral:rRNA from 1 species